rnacentral:rRNA from 1 species
GACGAACGCUGGCGGCGUGCCUAAUACAUGCAAGUAGAACGCUGAAGGAGGAGCUUGCUCUUCUGGAUGAGUUGCGAACGGGUGAGUAACGCGUAGGUAACCUGCCUGGUAGCGGGGGAUAACUAUUGGAAACGAUAGCUAAUACCGCAUAACAGUAGAUGUUGCAUGACAUUUACUUAAAAGGUGCAAUUGCAUCACUACCAGAUGGACCUGCGUUGUAUUAGCUAGUUGGUGGGGUAACGGCUCACCAAGGCGACGAUACAUAGCCGACCUGAGAGGGUGAUCGGCCACACUGGGACUGAGACACGGCCCAGACUCCUACGGGAGGCAGCAGUAGGGAAUCUUCGGCAAUGGACGGAAGUCUGACCGAGCAACGCCGCGUGAGUGAAGAAGGUUUUCGGUUCGUAAAGCUCUGUUGUAAGAGAAGAACGAGUGUGAGAGUGGAAAGUUCACACUGUGACGGUAUCUUACCAGAAAGGGACGGCUAACUACGUG